UGUCUGUGCACGGGGGGUUUGUUCACUGACUGAGUGCAAGGCUGUGCUGAUCAGACUUGUCCUGCAGCAGCUGCAUCAUCUGGUUGUGCCUUUCCGUCAUCAACGAGCAGGUGUUGGCCACAGAAACAGGCUGUGCUUCAUUGCCAGCUCCCUAAAAGCUGCCACCUGAAAAGCUAGUUGUGUAUUCGUAGGCACGGACUUAUCUGCUGUUGAAAAAAACCACAUGUACCACUUAACCCCACCCAGCCAGGCAGACACGAGUGUCUGCUGCCCUAGUGACUGCUGCCCUGUUGCAGCCCAUAUUGCCCACAGAGCAUUUCCAGCUCUUGCAAAUGGACCAGUGGAGCAAAGAGCAGCACUGACUAAUGUCACUUGUCAGGUGCUUCUGAAGGACAAGAUGGGGCUCGGUGUUUGGAAUACACUUCAAAGGAUAUCUUCGCCUGAAUUCCUCCAUGGCUUCAGCACAACAGUAGAAACACCUUAGUAGAAGCACCUCUUCCUAUAUUGAAGAUAAAUUUAUUAAGAAAAAUGUAGACUACAAUGAAGGAACACUUAAAAAUAUUAAAAGAAAACAAAGAUGGAUUCAGUGAAUAGUGUAUGUCAGAGCAGGGCUUUAAGUAGGUGUUCCCUUUGUGCACCACCUUGGUCUGGGUGAGGUACAGAGUUUAUUCAAAUUGAGUUAAUAGGGUAGCUGAUUUAUCAGAGAGGUUGUCCAGUAACAGGGUGUUUGGUGACUGAUCAAGGGGUGAGAUGAGAAGAGGUGUGGCUGUUCAGGGGCAGAGGGGAGAGUGAGUCACUGACACGUGCUCCGUGGUAAAUGGAGAGCAAAAUCAAGUGAUUAUUGGCAUUCAAAAGCAGUUAAUCUGGUCACUUGGAAAGUGCCAGUUUGCAUCCUUGCCUUCUGAAGUGCUUUAUUCUCCUAUCUGUAAAAUGGUUAUGACAGUCCCUGCUCAGCAGCCUUGCUAUGCCAUGUGUUAGCAGUCAUGGCUAAUGUCACUGUUUGAAGUGACUUGUGGCUGUGGCUUUCCUUGGAAUUGCAGUAUUUCUGCUCAGCAAAGGUACAGCUGACCUAGAAGUAAAGAACUGAAAACAGCAAGUGUGAGAUUAUGUGGUGCACAGGAAGAGGAGGCAGCUCAUUCCAAUAAAACAUGCAGUGGCAUGUUGAGGUGGAGCUGUGAAUCCAGGCUGCAGGAUGCAAUCUGGGAUCUGCCUGGGCUUUGAAACUGGAUGUGGCAAUCCGACAGCAGUCGUGUUCUCUGCUGCUGUGGCUGGCAGUAUUUUGAAAAACAGCUUUGACACACACAUGCAUAACUGAUGACAAUGGCCUUGUGAAUGUAGAUACAAGACAACCAACCCCAACCCCAGAACGCAGCAGGUGGUGACUGGUUUCUUCUUCGUGGAAACUCCCGUUUAUUGCAGUGGAGGCUGAGGCCGGUGUUCCAGGCACAGCAGUCUUACAGACUCAUAGAACUGUUUAGGCUGGAAAAAUUCUCUAGGAUUAAAUAGGCGGUUUCCAGGUGUGACCCGUGGUGUGUUCUGGUCCUGAAGUAUGGACGUGGGGCCUCGUUGUGUUUCUCCCUUGGCGAGAGCCAGGGCCAGCGGGGCUCGCAGCGCUGCGGUCUGACACGGAGGGCUGGAAGCGGAGCCGUGCCGUGAUUAAGUCACUCUCCCAAGGGCACGCGGUGAAUCGCUGGUGCUGCCAAGAAUAGCACCCCGAGUCUCUUGGCUCUCUCAAGCCCACCCUCAACACUCCAGCCUCCUUUCCUCGCUGCACAUACAAAUACCAGAUUUGGGGCAACUGUGUACCUGAUUCAUGCACACAAAUAUCUGAUACCUGCAACACCCCAGGAGUGGAGCCCUCUCCCUGCCCUGAAAGCCCAGGGGCUGCUGAGCCAUUGUGCAGGCUGGUGCUGCAUGUGUGUCCGACAAUCACCUUCUGCACAAAGUGAAAUUUCAGCUGAUGAAACCUCCACCUGUGUGUAAGUUGAUUUCAGGGUUAUGAAGCUUUCUGCAGCAAGAUUUGAAGCAGCCAGGUUCCAGCUUAGAUCAAAGUCGCUAGGAUUCACUUGUGACUUCUGGGCCAUAAAGCAGAAAAGUAAUUGAAAAAUGGGAGCUGAAGACAGUGUUGAAGGACGGAGCAUGGCGAGAGCCUGGUGGGAGCAGACAGUGCUUGUGCUGAGGUUGAAGUGUUCCCCGUCAUGGAAAAGAUGAACAAGCCAGUUCCAAAUCAGAGUACCAUACAUCCAUGUUCUUGCUGCUGCCUCCUGUAGCACAGUCCAUGCUUUGGUCUUCCCAUCCCUGCCUGGGCUCUCUUCUGCAGGCAGCUGCUGGGGGUCAGCAAACGUAUAAGACAGGUACACCCACUUCUGACUGAGAACACUUCCCAAAGACUCCCUCUGCUGCCCUUGGAGCUGCUUCAGCAGCCCUGGGAGCAGGGCCAUGCUGUGGGCUAUUCCUCCCUCUGUGCACAUGCCUCUGUGCACAUAUGUCUGACUGUGAGUGCUGCCAUGUUUGGAGCUGUGUGGUGGCUGCUGUCAGAACCCAGGAAUGCAGCCUCAGGAACAGAACCCUGCACAGGCAAACUUGGCAGAACCUGGGCAGUGUCUGGAGCAGCAGUCAGGAAUCUGGGACUGGGAUCUGACUGCACUUGCAUUCCCAGGAGGACAAAUCUGGGCCUCGAUUGCCAGAGUUUGUUGGUUUGUUAGGAAUAACACCCAAAUUUGUGAUGCUGAGAAGGUGAAGCUGCAGCGUGAGCCCACCUGGAAUCCUCAGCAGGAGAGAUGCACAGGGAGCAGCCAUGGAUGGGCAGGUUCACCAGCACCCCAGUGCUCUGUCUGUUUGUGAGUCUAUCUGUGUGUCUCAUGAUUUUCAGGUUGUUUUUCAUAUCCUGAUGCAAAUGAAAAGUCAGCCUUUUUCAGAAAAGUGCAGAAUCUAAUGAGCAGUGUGUUUGAAAACCUCAGCCAUUCCCAGGACACAGGUGAGUGAUGCAAACAUGGCACAAGCAGGUGGAGAUGGGCAUCUUGGACAGAAAACAUCAAAGGAAUCACACAGAGGUCAGGGUGGGCAUUUCACAGGGCCAGGGAGCUGGAGGUGUGUGCAAAGCCACCCCGCUCUUCACUCGGUGCCACUGAGCUUCAGUUCACUAACAAAGUAGCUGGAAAAAUUACCCAGAAAUAGAUGACCUUUCAAAAGGCCUCUAAUACACAAUUACCUGAUGUUCACUGAAGUGGUUCACGUGCUUCCACUCUAAAUGAUUUUCUAGGUUCACCCAUGUGUGAAAAGGGGUCUGAUUUUAUGGAGGAGGGCAAGGGAGGAAAGAAACUUCAGAAAGGAGAAAAAUACGCCAGGGAAUUUUACUGGUUGUUUGCUUCAAGGGAAGAAAAGGGUAAAUAGAUGGAGCCACCUCAAAGUCACCUUUUGACUUUGAACUUUAAAAGAAAGGAGCAUGGGAGAACUCUGAGGUAUUGACAGCACUUGACAGAAGCUGUUCCAUGGAGAUAGGGAGGAAAUUUAGGAUUCAGUGGAGUUUGCUUUCUUAGCCAGAUCACAAGUUCUUUUUUCCCCUGUAGUACAACAAAAUUAAUACAACCCCUGUUUUCCUUCCUGCCUUUUCUUUCCUUCUGCCCUGGGUCAUCUGGCACAGGAGAUCCCUUGCCUGUGUGGCCACCAGUGCUCACUCCAGGGCUGGCCAUGCCCCCUCUGCAGAGUUUCAGCUCUGAUCCUGGGCCAAAGCAAGUGCCACUCCUGGCUUGGAGGGUUCACAGCUCUGAGAUUUCGCUGCUUAUGACUUGAAGCAACCAGCAUCACCUCAGGCUACAGGCAGAAAAAUUUCCUUGAGCCACAUUGCCUCUCUGCUAGACAAACUGCAGAAAGAUAACUUGCUCCCAGAAUGUCAGGGUUGUCUGGCCACCUUCCAAACAAUCGCUGCAUUUCAUGCUUGAAUGCCUAUCAGUGAAUUUCCAGUACAAAAUGUGAACAGAGACAACCAGAAAUCAAGGUCUGGUGUUUCCUUUGCAGCUCUCCAGAGGGGAGGGCUGUUGGCAUCAUAUAUUCAAUCCCUCAGCACCAGCAGACACAGGUCAGUGACGAGACAGGUGAAAGAACAAGGCCUGAGGUCAGCAGAUGCCCGGGACAGCCACUGAAGCUGCCGCUUCCAGGAGCUGAGGCUGCUGCUCUUAGGGAAACAAAACUCCUUCCUGCUAGUGAACUUCUUCAGUUACCACACAGAAAAAUGUAAAAAGCCAACCAACAAUCCCCUAGCCAAGUGUUCCAGGUGGAAAAAUAUCAAAAAUCAAGAUGAGAUGGACAUGGCAUGUCUCCUGCCUGGAAGUCCUGGGAAUGUUGGUGUCAUGCCUGGUCAGGCAGUGCUGGUUGGACACAGAGUGCAGCCAGGAGCGUGCUGCUCACCCAGCAGCCUGAUCCACAUCCUUCCUGUGGCUGAAGGGGAUGCAGGUGGAGCCUGGGUGGGGCAACUGCCAGGUGUUAGGAAAGAUCACUUAUGCCCACAGGUCACUUCCCCAGCAAGGUGUACCUUGUUCCAGGGGUGCUGGAGCCCUCCCCAGUGGAGUGGGACCUCAAGGGGGUUGAGAAAGCCCUUGGAGCAAAUAAGGUGAAUGGCACCAAAGCCUUUGGAGAAAUCCAUUUUGGUGAAUGUUGUCCACCCAUAGUUCAGAGCCACUCUUAGCAGCGAGGCAGUGUGGGCAGGCAGAGCAGUGUUCUGUCAGGAUGGUGCAGGUCCCUUUGCUGUGCUACAGCUGAAGCCCAUAACAUGGAGAAAGGGAGCCUCAGUUGCAGGGCUGGGCAGGCAGGGUCAGAUCCUGCCACAGUUUUGACUCACAACUAGACAGACUCCGUACUUUUCAAGUUGCAGAACUUAAGCUUUUUGCAUUUCAGUUCUGCAAAUGCUACUCAGUGGUUUUGCCACUUUUCACCUAUUAAACUCUUUGGGUUUAUCCAUGCUCCAUCCAGAGUUCCAGCCGUUAAACUCUAAUUUUUCUGCCUUACCUCACUUGUAAGUGGAGGAGGUCACCUUCAGAGAGGCUGGUUUAGAGAACAGUGGUGGUAGCCAUGGAGUGCCCUAUCCAGUGAAGUCUCAAAUGAGAGAUAGGAUGGCUCUGAAAAGCAUGGUAGAAUAUUUGAAAAUUAAGAUAAUACCUGCUGCUAGUGUGAGAUUCAGAAGUGCUGCUGCUGAACAGCAUUUCCAUGCCAGGAACCUGCAGCAGCUGCUAUGGAUGCAGAUCCAUCCUUCAGCUGAUCCUACAGCAUGGGUUCUGGACUCCUCCAGUUCUGGGACUCCUUCACCUCUGCAUCACCAGGAUUUCUUCAGCAUGGUCAUUAACAGCUCAGACACACCUGCCACACCUUGCAGCACACGCCUCUGCAUUCCUCGCCCUGCUCCAAGACAUGCUUUGUUCAUGGGCUCAGCUCUCAGAGCUCCCACUCACCCUGUGAUUCACAUGGGAUCAGCUUAUAUGAAGUGCUGGCAAAUUAUGGUCAUGAUGGGUUUAACCCUAGCCCUGUCCUUGAAAGAACAGAUCCUGUCACCUAACCGGUACUUUUGGGAGGUUAUUUUACAAUUUGUAUAAAGAAAAAAUGUACUGGAAAUACCUUAUCUGUAGUGACAAUCUCUGGACCUCAGUACACACAGAAAUCCAUCAAUGUCCAUUGUUUGACAUGCUUUUGUCUGUUCUAUAACCCGUGAUCAGAGUUCACAAGCUUUCUCCCAGCCUGUGCCCAGCUUUUAAAGCUUUUCCUGCCAUCUAUCCCGUUUGCCAAGUCUCCAGUCCCUGAGUGCUGCCAGUGUUGGGGCAGACAGCUCUGUGUGCAGGGAUGCAGUACCUGGGAGCUCUGAUGGAACAAGCUCAGGGCCCCAGCACCUGACCCUGGAGGGUGCCUGGACUCUGAAGCUGGCACAGGCAAGAUGGAAAAUGAUACAAUCUCCCCCUUUCUCAUCCUUGUUCUUACACAGCACAGCAAAUCAAAACCUCAGACCAGCACAACUCCUAUUGUUACUUGUUCUGCAGUCUAGAGGGAAAUAAAGGAGUCCCAGCUCCUCAUUUCCACACGAGUGGGAACCAGUAGUGGUUGGCAGACCAGUGGCUGGUUUCUAGACUUGGCCAAGGGAAAGAUCUGAGUCCUUGCUUAAUAUUAAAAACAUUGGCUUAGGCUGAUUUAAUUUCCCCAUUUUUUAUUCUACUCUCAAAUUUUAUACCUUUAUUUUCAGUUUAAUCCUUUCUUUCUAAGGUUUACAUGGCAUCAUCUGCUUCUCAAAUACCUUUGUCCUUUAGCUAGUUUUACGAGCUGCACUUUAAAAGUGGACACUCUGUGAUCAUCACAAAAAUCCCUCCUUCUGGUAUUUUUGCUAGCGUCAGUCCCCAGAACAUGGGCCUUAAUGAAGGGAACAUAUUCCCUACUGAUGUGCCAGACAAAAGUUCAUGGCUUUGUCUUGCUGAAAAUGAAGUCUUGAUUAUUCAUGCAGUUCCCAAUUAGUCAUUCCACACCCUUGAAUUAUUUCUGACAGAUGUGAAAUGCCUUGUGCUGAAUUCCUACUCCAAGGAACCUUCUGCAUGACUGGUUUAUCAGUGUAUGCAAGCAGACUCAUGAUUUACAGUGCUUCAUCAUCAUGGCAUGUGUAACACUGAUCACGAUGACUAGGGAAACCAGACCCACCUAUUUUUGGUCAUAGGCUCAGACCCUCCAAAAUCUGCCAGCAGCUGCACAAGAGGUGCUCACACAGGGCUGGUGGGUGCACAGGGAAAGCCAGCUGACGCUGAGGAUCUCAAGAAUGGAUUGUCUGAGGGCACAUAAAUUCACUCUCACAAGUGCUAACCUGAAGGCCCGUUUCUGUCACUUUUCACUUUCUUGCUUUGUCUCUGCUGCCAGGAGGGCUUUUCCUGCUGGCUGUGUCCUCAGCUGAGGUGCAGGUCACGCGUGGUUCCUGCCCCUGAGCCAGCCCUGGAGACCAGAGCUGCCCAGCAGGGAGGGAAUGCCCAGCUUGGUGCCCUUACCUGCUGCUGGCAGUGCUCUCUGCUGUGUUUCCCUGCGAGGGAGUUUGUGCACAUCUCUCCACACAUCGUCAGAGGCACACAGAAACUCUCCUCCACAGCCUGCAGAACACAGGUGGGGGCUGUUUCCCAAAGGCUCUGAGACUUCUAAAAUCAGCGGUCCCCGGGCUGGCCAGAGUACAUUUAUUUUCUCCUACAAAGAAAAGGCCUUUCAGGGAACCUUCUCUGGACAAGAGCCUCCUCCAAAGCAGGAGGGCAGCUGCAGAGAGGGUGCUGUGGGGGUACAGACAGCUCAGAGCUGCUCUCAGCUGCACCCACUGUGCACCAGGGACAGGAGCACAGCUCACCUGCUGCCUCUGGGACAGCCUACCAGCACAGCAGGGCUUGUUCUGCUCAGAAUCACUGCCCUGCAGCUGCCAUGCGUGCACCUCUCUGGAAACAGAGAGUUUCCUUCCCAAAGGGAGCUCUGAGCUCCCCUUGCAAAGCCCCAGCAGCCGUCCCUGUUGGCACACCUGCACUGAAAGGGCUGACUUGCUCUCACUGCUGCAUUUCAGCAGCAUUCCUGAGCAGGUGGCCAGGCCUGGCUCCAUAUGAGCUUAAAGACCUCUGCAAUGGGAGAUUUUAGGCUGGGAUUCCACAUUUUUCUCCUGAAGAAGUCUCUGUCACUGCAAAACAAAAUAAUAGUACCCAAAGCCCUGUUAAAGUCAUUGUAGUGAUUCCAAAAUCCAUGAUUCCUCUGGCUAAUUAAAAAAGCUCCAAACUCGCUCCAGGUCUUACAACUAUAAAUUUGGUGUUUGCAGUGGUGAAACUCCCCCUUCUUUUUAUCCACAGAUGGUCAUGAUGAUAUGUUUUUGUUCAAUAAUUAAUAAUUUUUGUGUCAUGUUUGACUUGGUUUGGGGAUUUAAAUUGCAUACCUCACUGAAGGGAAACCCUAAUUGAGAUACAAAUCUGAGCACACCUGUGAAAGCCUUCAAGUUCUGUGUACAUGCCUAAGUAUAAAUUUUUAAAUGUAUGUUUUACUACUUUAAAGGCAUCUACACAGGAUGUCAGUGGAGGUUGAUCUGUCAUCACUCUGUCUUGUCAGCAGACCCACUGGAUUCUGACAGCUGAACAGAGGCCAUUAAUUAAAAUUGCCAGGUUUUGUCAGACCCUUGACAUGCUCCCUAGAUAAUUCAGUCUCAUGCAUUUCAAGUGUUUGCAGCAGGAACAAGACUAACUACUUCAAUUUCCCUGCUCCAUUCCAUGCCUCUCUUUCUAAGAAAGAGGAUUUAUUCCUGCAGCAAUAACCCUUUGCAUUUUGAAGCAAGGGUGUUGGUGCAACUUGGUUCUGCAUUGAGAAGUGCCAGGGUUUGUGAUGACUCCUCAGAGGGAAGCUGUGCAAAGGUCCUGGCAGUGACUCCCCACCCUCAGGAAGGUUUCAGGGAUAAUGCCACAAGUUUUGCAGGAAUAAAGAGCUUUUUCUUACUGUUCUAAGAAGAUUCUUUGCUAGAAUAAGCAAACAAGGAUUGGAGCUGACUUCAGGUCCCUCUGCUCCCACAGCUAUCCACGCUGGAGCUGGCAACUGCUCCUGGGGAGAUAUGGCUCUCAGCCAGUCAUCCUUAAAGGAGAAGUGUUAGUUUUGCAUGUAACUAUGACCUAUUUUUAAAUUUUUGCUAUAUAUAUAAAUUUACUCUUUAUAACACAUCCAUGGACCCUUUGGAGUGCCUAUGAUGGAGAGCCAGUGGUCAACCCUUAGACUCAUGUUUAGAAAACACCACCUUUGUUUGUUUUACAUGUUUAUAAUUGUCUCUGGCUAUAUUAUCAUUUGUGAAUUUCCACAGUAGCCUUCAAAGUAAUGGUUUUCUGGAUAGUAACAUUGCAAAAAGCACUUAAAAUGUCAAAUACAAGAACAGUUGUUUGCUUCUUCUUGCUACUACAACCUACCACAGAUGUAAAUCAUGAGCCAUAUUGCUACAGCUUCUGAAAUCAAAGUAAAGCCAAAUAAUGUACAGCCCAACACAGACAUAUUCCCUAAUGACACAGAAGUGUGGUGCUCCAGCCCCCAUUUCAUAGGAGAAAAGGAGGAUAUAGGAUAAGAGGUCAGUGCCAAGGUCUCACUUCCCUGGUGGUGACUGCAGUUUUGUAUGGGACACUCUGCUCCUUCCAUGCACUGCUCAGAGGUGGAUCCUGUGCAGAAACCCCUUCUCUGCCCCCGUGGAACAGAGGGUUUUGUCACCUUCACCACGCUCAGCUGGAAUGUCCCAGAUUGCCUCUGGGGCCAGCUGAGCUGCAGCAGAGCACGGAGAAGACAGGUUUCAGGUAAGACAGCAGAUGCAGUUUGCACACUUGUGAGGUUUGCUGGAAGUCACACCAGUAAUGAAAAUGUUCCAAGGAGAAUUAGGGGGGCCCCCUCCAUGUGGGCUCCCUCGCCUGCAGGGAGGCAGCUGUGGAGGCAGGCAUCUGCUGUCUCGAUGUUGCAGAGGAUUUCCCCACAGCUCACCGGGACUCAGGGGUGGGCUUAGAGACUCUGUUGCCCAUCCCAUUGUCUGCACAAACUGACACAGUAGCCAGGUCCCUUCUCAUGGGCCUGCCCAGGGAAUGAGGGACUCUGGGCCUCCUUGGGCCAUCUCUCCCCUCAUCAGCCGACCUGAGGAGUUUGCUUUUGUGCUUCAUGGAAUGGCAGCAUCUCACAGGAGCACUUGGUGUUAGCUGGUGCACAGCACUGGGCUCUGUGAGGAGUAAGCAUAGUGCUGAAUUACAAGGUGGUGUGAGUAAGAGCAUCGCCACCGUCAGCAGAUCUGUGAGGUCAGCAGGUUUACAUUCCUUCAGGUCAGAGAACAGAACAAGUGUGAUCUUAUCCCCGUGCCAGUUCCUGCAGCCUGCACCCACCGGCCCUGCUCCGCAGGAAGGGACGGAGACCAGGGAACAAACAGGCACAGGCAGCCUCUGUGAGAAUGCAGGGGAGAGCAAGCACACUGGUUUUUUUCCCACAGCAUGAAACAGCCAGCAUGUUCUGCCAAAACCAUAAAUGUUCCCUUGGGAAACCGGGCUGUAUUUAUGAGGGACUGCGAGAUCUGCUGUCUGCUCACCUGGGGAGCAGGAGAGGGAUUCUGUUUAAAGUAAUGGAUCCAGUCUGGUGUCCAACCCUGCCAUGCCACGAGGGAGAGGACAGCAUAACAGAGGAAUUGCAUUUUCCUUCUCCUCACUUGUUAUUCUGUGUGGUCAUGUAUUAAUUCUUAAACUCAACUCUUUUAAUUAUUUUUAUAACCCUUACUGAUGUCACUCUGAAUAUUACUGUUAUCCUUAUAAAUACACAACCUCCUUUCUCUAGAAAUUUUAGCCAUCCAGCUAACACGCCCUAUGACUUUGAAAUCAGUACAGAGAAUUUAUCAACAGAAUUGAAAAUUAAAUUAAAUUUAGGAUGAAAGCCAUACCUUACACCCUCAAGGCUUAUAAAUUUAGUUUUGUCCAAGAUAUAAGUGCAUGUCCCCAAAAUGAAUAUAAUUCUGAAAAUUGCUUAUGUUAGUCAGACAGAGCCAGACAGUUUUAGAGGCAUACAUAUGUGAGCAAAAAAAAAAGUUAUGGUUACAAAGGCACAUCCUGGAUUACAGAAAACAAAUGUCAUAUCAUACAGAGAUUUCCAUAAGGGUGGGAAUUGCUCAGGAUUGGCAUGGGUCAAGCAUAACUUUAAAUGCUAUUCCUUGGGCAAUAUCCAAAGGAUCAGACUCCAUAUGAACACCUUUGCUCACUGUAACCUACGCAGUAUCUAGAUAAGUGUUGAAUACAUAAAUAGGUUUUUAUAUUGAUGCCAAACCCAAACACCUACAGAUGACUGCACCUAUUGGGUAUCAAAGAUAGAAGUCAAUUUCUGAAGACCUACUUGGAUAACAAUUAUCCUUUUUGAUGCAUAAAACUUGAAUAGGGCUCUGGGAAUUAGCAACAUAAAAAUAAUGUUGGUGAUGAAUUUAAAAUGUUCCCCAAACAAGGAAUUAUAAGGAAGACUUGGGAGAGAUCUUGCGGUGAACUUGGAUCUUUCCACAGGUUUUAAUUCUGAGUAUUAGAUUUUUCAUAAUCUCCAGUGGUUACUUGGCAACUGCUGUGGGCUGUUGACUAACCCAUCUGGGCAGCACAGAGCUCCUGCCACAGGGCAGGACCCCUCAGCUGCACGUGGGGCAUCCUGACUCUGCCUGUGCUGCUCCUGUUGUACACCUGCAGAUCUCAAACAAUGAACAAUGCUUGAUAGUCAUCGACCUGAUUUCAAAAAUGGAGCAACUGUGAUGCAAUGGGAUGAAGAAACUCACUCGAUACCAUUGAAUCAAUUGAUGUCCAUGCAAGGAUUGGACACAUUUCCUCAUUCUUGGUGCCAUUUGUAACUUACCACAAAAGAACACUAAACCCACUUCUUAUGGCCAUUCUCCAUGCUUCAACAGACCACGGCAUCAAAGGACUAGGCAAUAAAUCUUCCCUUCUCUCAGUUUGUUUUUUUAAAAGAAUGACUGUUAUGAGAGAAAAGAGGGCUUCAGCAGCUGCAGGAAAGAGCCCGCACUGUGCAUUCUUUCACCAUGUAGUCCCUCUCACAUUCUGCCUUUCUGUUCCCUCACUGUCCUCCUCAAGAACCCUGAGUCCAACCAAGCAUUAAGGCCUGCAAUGACAUUGCUAUGGAUCAGAUUCUGAUCACUUUCAUCAUUAAACCCUUUUGUUAGUGUGUGAACCAGCAUCCUGCCUAGUGAGAUUGCUCAUAGACCAGAAACAUCGUUGCUGUACAGUACCCAGCUUUGGAUUUGCAGAACCCCAAAUUUACCAUGUGCUACUCUCUAUAAACAUGACUUCAAAAAAGAGGGAUUGUCCUGGAGUCACGAUCCUACCAGUAGCAGCCUGUGAGAAAGCUUUUUCUUUUACAGCUGAGUGGGCCAGUGCCAGUGCCAGUGGCCCCUGCAGCAGAGCGUGCCCAGGUGGAGCAAGGGCCAGCAGACAUUACCAGGCUGUGGGUUUCAUUUUAGAAUUUCAGCAAGAGCAGUCUGAAAAGUGUUAAGUCUAAUGAUUUACAAAGUGAAAUCAGGUUACAGGGAUCCUACCUGUGUGCAAGUCUUUAUGAGUCAUAGGAGGAAGCAAACCACAGUCCUUAUUCCACAGGGAAAAGCCAUAUGGACUUGUCACUUGGGGUUCUUUGUACAGAAUGCAGGUCCCUGUCGGGUUCCUGUCACUGGCUCAAUUUCACAUCCCACAGUUUGUCUUUGGGAGCAAAAUUCCAGAUCUACCCAAUUCUACCUAGACUGAUUUCAGUUGAUGUGCCCUCAGUGCACACUGUGCUGCCUUCACCCUGCCAGAGUGGCUCUGGCUCGCAGCCCUCCAGGUGCUGAGAGCUUUGAUCAGCAGCUCUGGGGAGCCCUGAGGCUCCCUGGCAGCCAGCAGCACUGACCAUCCACAGAGCACCUUCUCUGCACCCAGCACAUUCCUUCUGCUGGCACACACGCAAAGGGGGAAGGAGGGAUGAGAAAGCAAUUCUGAUAGGGAAAGAUAUAAACAGAAAAUGUGGGAGGGAACUGAAAGCAUCUCUCUUCUCCUUGCACAACUUCAGCUCCAGCUUUCCAAGUUUCUGCUGUUCAUCACCUCUUCUACAUGCAGAACAGAACCUCGUUUCCCUUGUCAGAGAAACACCUUGUCUGAAGAAGUACAGCCUUGAAAAUCCUUUAGUCAUUUAACACUCAAAACAACUUUUCCACCCCAUGUCCUACAUGGUACCAAUUCAUCUGCAAAAACACAGAUGGAGAAACAACAGGCUAGUGCAACGUGCAUCAUCCACUGCAAAAUAUGCUCACGAGAGCUUACACAGGGCACUGCUCAGUGUUCACAGGAGUAGGCAGGAGAUCAGGAAACCUUAGAUUUUACUUUGGGCAUUGACUUGGUCUGAAGUUUUGAGCAAAGGGGAAUAAUUUCCAAUUUAGGUUUCAGUUUUACUGUCUGAAAAAAACUAGGAGGUAUCAUUUAUAAGGCUUGGAGAACUUCCACAAAAUUUGCCUAAAAUCCACCUGUUAAUUACAUUUCAACAGAAGCUGAGAUGUACCUGUGUACCCCUCACAGAAGCAGCACUCCAGAAACAGUUCAUGGUACAGAAGAGAUGGCAUAUUUCUUUUAACAACGGGGUGAAAAAUGGUGCUUAAGGCCUGGUUCUGCAAAGUGCACUGGAAGAAAACAGGUAUUUCCUUAUGCAUCAUGCCCUAGGAAAAGAUAUUUAAAUAUGUCUGUGUUCUUAAAAAGAGAAAUUUCAAAUAAAUUCUGUAUGUACUGCCAUGCUAAUCUGAACAGCAUGCCUGCAUGCAGAAAUUUAACUUUUAAAAAACUACCCCCUUUUCUGCUGCUUGUGUGUACAUUGGUAUUACUCAACCUUCACGUUCUUACAGAGCUCACUGUGAGCCUUCCCACAUGCUAAAUCUAUCCUAGUAGGUAUUUACUCACCAUUAGAAAAGUCUUAACCACAUGAGUAAACACAGAAAUAUUUGCCCAGGUUAACUGUGAUAUUGGGCUAUGUGGAAUAAAACUACACUGUUCUGUAUUUC